rnacentral:rRNA from 1 species
CUACGGGGGGCUCCAGUGAGGAAUAUUGCACAAUGGGGGGAACCCUGAUGCAGCAACGCCGCGUGGAGGAUGACGCAUUUCGGUGUGUAAACUCCUUUUAUAUGUCAAGAAAAUGACGGUAGCAUAUGAAUAAGCACCGGCUAACUCCGUGCCAGCAGCCGCGGUAAUACGGAGGGUGCAAGCGUUACUCGGAAUCACUGGGCGUAAAGGACGCGUAGGCGGGUUGGAAAGUCAGGUGUGAAAUCCUACAGCUUAACUGUAGAACUGCACUUGAAACUUCUAAUCUAGAGUAUGGGAGGGGGAGAUGGAAUUAAUGGUGUAGGGGUAAAAUCCGUAGAUAUCACUAGGAAUACCUAAAGCGAAGGCGAUCUCCUGGAACAUUACUGACGCUAAGGCGUGAAAGCGAGGGGAGCAAACAGGAUUAGAUACCCGGGUAGUC